GAGGAACCAGACCAGGACAAUUCUGGGAAGUGGACUUUACUGAAUUUAAGCCAGCAAGACUUAAAGCUCUUGAAAGAACUCAGUGAUACCUGUGGAAACAGCUGGCCACUGCCUACCAACCUGGUGAAGAGGGGACUCAACAUCGAUAUCAAAUCCACGGACUGCUCUCACCCCCCGCCUUCCCCAUCUUCCCCUCUGUACCAGGCCCACAGAAAAAUCUUAAAUGACCUUCUCCAGAAGUCUUCCCCAUGGCUGACUUUAGGACUUUCAGCAACAGAGUCCCUAUAAAAGAGUUCAAUGGAGAUAAACUUCCUCUUUUCGUGUUGCUCUGUUCUACUUGGCCACAGGCUGGAAAAAUCAGCACUCCUUACUAGUUUUUCACAAAAUAUGUGAACAAGGCCUCUGGCCUUGAGCUGGGGCUUCACAGAGAUGGCUACAUUUCUAAGAUAAAGAAGUUACCAACUGGGCUCCAUGGUAACAGCUGGCAGGGAGAAAAAAAAGAGAAGAAAAAAGCUCUCCCCCUCCCAGGUGUCCUUAAAAAGUUAACUUGCCCAGAGCAGAGGAAAAAAAAAAACAGAAACAAAAACUGCUUUUUGUGAACUUCUGCAAACUGUGAAUU